UACGUAGGGUGCGAGCGUUGUCCGGAAUUAUUGGGCGUAAAGGGCUCGUAGGCGGUUUGUCGCGUCGGGAGUGAAAACCUCGGGCUUAACUCGGGGCUUGCUUUCGAUACGGGCAGACUGGAGGUAUGCAGGGGAGAACGGAAGUCCUGGUGUAGCGGUGAAAUGCGCAGAUAUCAGGAGGAACACCGGUGGCGAAGGCGGUUCUCUGGGCAUGACCUGACGCUGAGGAGCGAAAGUGUGGGGAGCGAACAGG
rnacentral:rRNA from 1 species